UGGAGUAUAGCCAAGCGGUAAGGCAGCGGGUUUUGAUCCCGCCAUUCUCAGGUUCAAAUCCUGAUACUCCAGCCA
rnacentral:tRNA from 2 species